GAAGGCACAAAAGGGGCUGCCUCUGGCCAUUCCCCUCAGAUCAUGUACUCCACCAAACCCGUUUGGGUUUUUGGAUGUCAUUUUGUAUGGUCAUUGCAGAAGCCACUUCUGUGAAGUCUCGGUUUGCCCUGUGCUCCACAUGGCGUUGCUAUUAUUGCACCCUGACUGCCUCUGAGACAAUUUCUUGCCUAUUAAAAUGCAGUUAUGGCCUAGAAAGUGAUAGUGUAAGAAUGGCUUAUCAGUGCUCUGUAGCUAUUUGCUCUAAUCAUCCGUACCAAAGGCCUGAGAAUGCUCCCAGAGAAGCCAAUAAGACUUUUUCCAUUGACUUCAAAGGCAGCAGAGAGCAAUUUAGCUGCUGCCACCAGACAAAGCAGAUUAGGCUACAGCUGGUACUUCCACAGCUAACUUGGCUCUGAAAUCCUGACAAUCUAAAUGUGUUUUUGCUACAUGGAAUACUUAAAAAUAGACAAGAUAGAGUAGUAGGGAAAACAGAUUGCUGGGAAUGUUCCUUCCCUGGUAGGAGAAAUGGACUAGCUGAACCUAGCAGGGCUUUUCCAUCUCGAGUGUGUGUGAGUCUAUGAUUUUUGUCAGCAAACUAAGCACUUCUGAGCCAGAGGCAGCACAGGAAGCCGUUAAAAGCAAUUUAGAGGUGCUGGUAUCGUAAUUUUUCACUCCAAGAGGAACUUCUAUUUUUGCAUAUACUGUAGGGCUCAGAAAGAUUCCCCUGAAUCCAGCGAGACGCGGUGCAGUGCCUGCAUGGAGACAAUCCCAUGGACGCAAACCGGGGCCAUCAAACAGACAAGAGGUGCUCACCUCUGAUUCCGGACCCAUAUCACAGACAGAAGCGAGAGGACUCCAACAGUGCUUCCUCAUCACGUUCCAGCUCCACCUUGAUACAGCCUGGCCCCUCAAAGAGACAGGAGGUUGAAGGACUGCAUGGACAGAAGCUGAGCUGGUGGGCAGGAGGAGAAGCAGGAAAAGCAAAUGGAGGCAUCUCAAAUGCUGGGCAGAGGACUGAUGCUGGAACUGAAGCUGUGGGACGACUGGCAGAGACUCCACAGGUACCUGCUGAAAUUCAGGCAUGGAGUUUAAAGGGAUCUUCAGCGAUCAUCUGCCUCGAACCAGAACCAACCAGGGUUCCAAUUCCUUAA
rnacentral:lncRNA from 1 species